CGAGCACGCGCGUGUGGCAUAUCAAUAAGCGGAGGAAAAGAAACUAACAAGGAUUCUCUUAGUAACGGCGAGUGAAGCGGGAAGAGCUCAAAUUUGAAAUCUUCAAGGUUCUACCUUGACGAAUUGUAGUUUAAUAGAAGUGUUUUCUGUUAGGUAGUUUGGCUAAAAGUUCUUUGGAAUAGGACAUCAUAGAGGGUGAGAAUCCCGUAUUUGGUACCAUUACUUUCUAGCGUUGUGAUACACUUUCAACGAGUCGGAUUGUUUGGGAAUGCAGUCCAAAAUGGGUGGUAAAUUUCAUCUAAAGCUAAAUAUUGGCGAGAGACCGAUAGCGAACAAGUACCGUGAGGGAAAGAUGAAAAGAACUUUGAAAAGAGAGUUAGACAGUACGUGAAAUUGUCAAAAGGGAAGCGUUUGACACCAGUGUUGUUUAGUUGAAAAUCAAUUCAAUAGUUUUUGAUUUCUAAGUAGUAUUGACUUCAUCAGCUUGCUGCUUUCUUUUCAGGAAAUUAUUGAAUGCACCUUUCAGUUAACAAGUCAACAUCAAUUUCUUUUGUUGUAAAAGGGUAUGAGGAAGGUGGCUUACUCUUCGGCGUAAAGUGUUUAUAGCCUUGUGACCUCUGCAAUCGGAGAGAUUGAGGAUCUGCAGCGUAGACUCUUCGGGGUUAGAUACACUUGUGCUAAGCUAUAGCCUUGUAUAGACAACUUGUUGACUAUGCUCAGUCAUGUAGCUUACUCGCUUGUGCUAUUUUACCUACGCUUAGGAUGUUGAACUCUAUCACACACAG
rnacentral:rRNA from 1 species